GUUGACUUCAUGGGAGAAGUCUAUAUUAUUAGUCACAGCUUAAAAGUAAUACCUUUUAUACACUCCAUUUCGAAGCUUUAUUAGUAUCUCGUCCUGUAGUUUUUAAAUAUCAUUUAUUUUUUGUGCUAUUACGUCUGACUCUGAUGAUAGUCAGCAAUUUCUUUUUUUAUACAGGAUAUACAUUAUGUCUAAUACAGUUACUGGUACAGUAAAAUGGUUCAACGAGUCUAAAGGCUUCGGUUUCAUCGCACAAGAAAAUGGCGCAGACGUUUUUGCUCAUUUCAGUGCAAUCAAAAGCGAAGGUUUCAAAACUUUAGCUGAAGGCCAACGUGUAGAGUUCACUCUUUCACAAGGUCAGAAAGGUCCUCAGGCUGACAACAUCGUUCCACUUUAAUUUUAAAGUGAAAUAAUGAAAAAAGACAGCAAUUGCUGUCUUUUUUGUG
rnacentral:sRNA from 1 species